CUUUAUAAGAGAAGAAAGAAGAGGGAGAUUUAGAUACAGAGACUCACUCACAGCAGAAGAUGGUUAUGUGAAGACCAAGGCAGAAAUUGGAGUGAUGCUGCCAUAAACCAAGGAAUGCCUGGGUCCACCAGAAGCUAAAAGAGGAAAAGAAAGAUUGUUUCCCUAAAGCUUUUGAUGAAGAUGUAUGACUAGAGUAUGGUGAGAUGCAGUGACAUUAAAUGGUGACAAGCAUUAGAGUCCCAGGAGCCAAGUUCAAAUUCUGCUUCUGCCCCUUAUGCUGUAUGAUCUGGCCAACCAUAGCCUUGCUAUAUCCUGGGGUCUUGGAUAAUGUAGAAGAGUAAAAUCUAAGUCUUGCUUACAGAAUCUGAAGAAACUCUUCUGACUUCAAAGCUCAAUUCUGUGCCAUGGAAAUCAGAUAUACUAUAUCAUAUCUCAACUUAAGUGCAAAGGAGCAAACUCUGGCAAAACUUUAUGUAAAGGAAGAACUUUCUCCUCUUCUCUCCCCAUAUCAUCAUAGCAGCUACAUCCUACAAACACACAGCGGCUGUUAUCAGAAAUCAACUUGUGAAAGUCACCUCUACCCAUAGAUGAGGUUGUGAUGGUUUCAUCCAAAUGAUUUUAUGGCCUGUGAAGCAGUCAUUUGGAUCAAGGUUAACAAAUUCUUGGUAUCAGAGGUGCUACUGAGGACUCCACAUACCGAUACCAAUAAAUAAUGUCCAUACAACGAAGGUGGUGUUGGUUGAUACGGUUUGGAUCUGUGUCCCCACCCAAAUCGCAUGUUGAAUUGUAAUCCCCCAGUAUUGGAGGUGGGGCCUGGUGGGAGGUAACUGGAUCAUGGGGUUGGAUUUCCCUAUUGCUGUUCUCAUGAUAGUGAGUGAGUUGUCAUGAGAUCUGGUUGUUUAAAAGUGUGUAAUACCUCCCACUCACCUUCCUCCUGCUGUGGCCAUGGAAGAUGUGCCUCCUUCACCUUCCACCAUGACUGUGUUUCCUGAGGCCUUCCCAGAAACUGAGCAGAUGCCACCAUGCUUCCUGUACAAUCUACAGAACCUUGAGCCAAUUAAACCUUUUUUUUAUAAAUUAC
rnacentral:lncRNA from 10 species